rnacentral:misc_RNA from 1 species
CAACCCUCGAACCCCUCCGGGGGUCCGGCGUUGGGGACUUCGGGAACCCCUAAGACGGGAUCCCGGCCCCGAAAUACAGUGGCGGUCUCGCCGCAGCCUCUCAUGCGCAGUAGUUUGCACAACUCGCACCGGGAGCGCGGCGCGUCCACGUCCGUAAAACACCCAACUUCUGAAA